rnacentral:lncRNA from 1 species
CUUCCUGAGACAUGACUGUCUUGUUGAAUACUAUUCCUCUUAUGCUGCUGAAAAAUAUUUUAUUCAAAAUAUGACUUAUUUAACAGCUAAAAUGUCUAGGUUAUAAUUUCCUUGGUAGAAAGCAUUUUCCAUCUAUUUUUCUUUCAAUGUUCAGAUACAAGUGAAAAAAACCCAAAAAAUCCUCCAAACAUACAACCAUAAUUGCCUAACUCCAAGACCAAAAUAGCAUACAAUUUUGAGGAAAAACUGCCAUGAAAAAAAAAUAGAUGUAUUGGAAAGGACAGAAUUCAGUUAAAAGGUUGCCAGUGUACACAUUUUUCUACUUGUUCAUAAAUACUAAUUUAAUUUUCUGUUCUGUUUUGCUGACAUAUUCUAAAAAUCUCUAUCAGGAGGUGCUUUGUUGACCUUACUCUUACUUGCUAAAUUUUACAAGCAUAGUGGCAGUCGCUUCCCUUGAAAAAGACAUUGUAGAUAUUGUUGCCAGGAGUCGUUGCUAAGUGUAACCCCAUCUAUCCCAUAUGUGAUAAAUAAAGCCAGCUUUUCCAAAAAAAAAAAAAAAAAAGGAGAGAGAAAAAAAAACCCAUUGAUAUUCUCACAGUUUAGAAAAGGAGAUCAACUUUUUAAACAACCCUACCCCCACUGUUCCACCUGCAGCUUGUUAAAUAAAUGCCUGGUGAAGACACCAUCCCCCAAAUCAUCACAAGGAUCCAGGUGUUGGCCAUUUGUGCUAACAAUUUAUAGGUGAAUCCCAUCAAAAGCGUGACUCAGCAGAUUAAAAUAGGUAUUUGAAGAAGCCUGGGAGGGUGGAUGCUAGUCGUCCUCUCCUGAACAUUUGCCCAGAAGGUCGUUAAUUGCUGUGCAAAAUUUCUCCAGAAGUUUAGAAGGUGUUGGUAAUUGGUUGAAAGAUAUUAAUUUAUUUUCCAGGGUGAGAUGUCUUCCAAGAUGAACAGCAAGUUGACAACAAGUUUGUGGUGAAAGUUACAACGCUUUAAAGGACAUAUGAUCUGCUGUGCUUUUCAAAAUCCCCAAAUAGGUAAUUGCCUCUCAGUGAAGGUAGCUGAGCUUCAAGACCUAAUUUCCUCCAGUUUCCUACCAGCUUCUGAAAGGCCUGGUCUUCAGAAAUUAUCAUUGGGCAUCAGGCUCCAGGACAUACAAAUGCUCUGGUUUACAGAAACAAAGGAGUGGAAUAGAAGCUCAGUAAAUUCAGAAGAAUAUAUGUUUCAGCACCCAAAAUGAGGGGUACUCGUUACAAACAUAUGGAAAUCUAUUUUGGGGAAAGGUAUAGAUUAUUUGUUAUGCAUUAAAUGCUUUACACAUGCAGUGGUCUACACAAGUCUCAGUUCAUGUUUCAGACUAACAAAAAAACAGUGCCAGUGUGGAGAUAAAGCGGGACAAAAAGUGAUGAUGAGGUUGAAGAUGGGUUAUUUUAUUCUCUAAAUGUGAGUUCCCAGCUCUACAUACAUCAAAAAGAGUAAAACAGCAAGACUGUAACUUAAAUACAUGGGAAACAUAGAGUUGAAACAUACUGGUCAGAGCUGAGGAAGGGAAGAAAAAUGACAAGUUCUUUAUUUGCUUACUUUAAAAUGGGAGCACAAAGGGAUGUCUACUACUUGUAUAUUUUCCCUUCUCCCAGCUUCUUUAGUACAAUAUACAUACAGGAAUAAUUGACUGGGGUUUUGAUAUUUGAUUGUUUUACACGCAGACUUUUCUUCCCUCCCUUUAAAACCCCCCCCCAUAUUCUUAAAUAGAAAGCUACUUUUGCCUCUGUGCACUCUACCAUUAUUUUGAGGGGUCUUAUUUUUCUGUAGUAGUAUCCAGAUGGAAAGAGUGUGACUUCUGUAAUAAAUAAUACAAAUGAGAUGCUACCA